rnacentral:rRNA from 1 species
CGGCGGACGGGUGAGUAAUGUCUGGGAAACUGCCCGAUGGAGGGGGAUAACUACUGGAAACGGUAGCUAAUACCGCAUAACGUCGCAAGACCAAAGAGGGGGACCUUCGGGCCUCUUGCCAUCGGAUGUGCCCAGAUGGGAUUAGCUAGUAGGUGGGGUAAUGGCUCACCUAGGCGACGAUCCCUAGCUGGUCUGAGAGGAUGACCAGCCACACUGGAACUGAGACACGGUCCAG